ACGUUCCUGCGCUGACUGCAACAGACGCGGAGGACUUCAUUGGGCAAGUGCUUAAGUUUGCCCCACACAGAUGGCCAGCUGAGAAGGACUGAGCCUUCAAAACCAUGGAGCUCUAUUUAAUUUUUUUUGCGGAAGCAAGAGCUGUUGGCCAUCUUCUACACUACUGCCAUCCUCCUGCCUCGUCCCCUCUGGCAGGCCCUACAGAUCCCUGCACACA